CCACCAUCUUGGAGCUCAGUGCCCUCAUAGUGUAACAGCACCAGCAGAUCUGCCUGUGCACAGACUUCCUGUACUACCUCACUCCUGAGGGGAGAUGCUUCUGCAGGGCCUGCGACCUGGUGCACAACUUUAGACACCAUCAUCCUGGAGCGGCACUGCACCCUCACUAGCCAGGGUGUUGAUGACUUCCUCAAUGCCAAGGCCACGUUCAAGAUUUUCGACUUCAGUGAUGCGUUUGUGCUGAGCAAGCCAAGAGACCCAAGCCUGCCUUGCUGCCACUUAGGAUAUGACAGCACAGCCAGUGGCCUCUACUGGAUCCUGGUACCCCUCAGAAGACACCCAGACACUGGGAGUGCUGCCACCUCGUGGUGCAAGAGUUCUGAGGGACGGCAAUUCUGAAGACAUUGAAUGUUGUUAUAUGAAAAAACUGAGGCAAAGAGCAAUACAGAGAGUUGCAAAAAUUCAUACCGCUGGUCCAGGUUUGAACCAAACAGUCUGCACCUGGAGUCCUUGUUUGUAACCAUGGCACCCUGUCUUCACACAUAUCUCAUCGUGGAGUUCCAUCUUGUGUUAGCCGUUUUGCACACCCUGGUCAGAAUGAAACAUUCCUUGGGAACUCGGGCCGUGAGAAGCAUCCUUCCUGAUCACCUGACUGUAGAAACAUCCUUAUCGCACCCUCCCGGGCAAAGGCCCAACAGCCUGACUGCAGGAACAUCCUUGCCAUAUCCUGCCGGGCAGCAAGCUCUACCGCCCACACCCCUCCUUCCC
rnacentral:lncRNA from 10 species